GGCCUGGUGGUCUAGUCGCAUGAUACCUCCUUUGGGCGCUUGAAGCUCGAUUGGUGGUGGUCCUGGGUUCAAUUCCCGGUCAGGCCC
rnacentral:tRNA from 1 species